CCAAGAUCAAAUUACUGCCACUAUAAG
rnacentral:sRNA from 1 species